GGGGAGUACGGCCGCAAGGUUAAAACUCAAAUGAAUUGACGGGGGCCCGCACAAGCGGUGGAGCAUGUGGUUUAAUUCGAUGCAACGCGAAGAACCUUACCUGGUCUUGACAUCCACAGAAGAAUCCAGAGAUGGAUUUGUGCCUUCGGGAACUGUGAGACAGGUGCUGCAUGGCUGUCGUCAGCUCGUGUUGUGAAAUGUUGGGUUAAGUCCCGCAACGAGCGCAACCCUUAUCCUUUGUUGCCAGCGGUUAGGCCGGGAACUCAAAGGAGACUGCCAGUGAUAAACUGGAGGAAGGUGGGGAUGACGUCAAGUCAUCAUGGCCCUUACGACCAGGGCUACACACGUGCUACAAUGGCGCAUACAAAGAGAAGCGACCUCGCGAGAGCAAGCGGACCUCAUAAAGUGCGUCGUAGUCCGGAUUGGAGUCUGCAACUCGACUCCAUGAAGUCGGAAUCGCUAGUAAUCGUGGAUCAGAAUGCCACGGUGAAUACGUUCCCGG
rnacentral:rRNA from 1 species